rfam:Mycobacterium gordonae strain CTRI 14-8773 contig_2, whole genome shotgun sequence.
GUCGGGUUCGGGAUGAACUGAUUGAUCCGCUCCCCGAUCACCGCCCAGGUGCGCUUGCCGUCGCGCAGCAUCUGCACCCCACGCCGCUUGAAUUCCUU